rfam:Pneumocystis jirovecii, SE8, WGS project CAKM01000000 data, contig: 284
GCCCGAUUAACUCAGUUGGUUAGAGUGUUGUGCUAAUAACGCAAAAGUCACAGGUUCGAGCCCUGUAUCGGGCA